rnacentral:rRNA from 1 species
GGCGGGCUUAACACAUGCAAGUCGAGGGAGCCUUCGGGCGACCGGCGAACGGGUGAGUAACACGUAGAUAACGUGCCUUCUGGAGGGGGAUAGCCCGGGGAAACCCGGAUUAAUACCGCAUAUGCCGAGAGGUAAAAGUAGCAAUACGCCAGGAGAUCGGUCUGCGGCCCAUUAUUUAAUCCUAGUUGGUGAGGUAACGGCUC